GUAGGUGGCAAGCGUUGUCCGGGAAUUAUUGGGGCGUAAAGCGCGCGCAGGCGGUUCUUUAAGUCUGAUGUGAAAGCCCACGGGCUCAACCGUGGGAGGGUCAUUGGAAACUGGAGAACUUGAGUACAGAAGAGGAAAGCGGAAUUCCAUGUGUAGCGAUGAAAUGCGUAGAGAUGUGGAGGAACACCAGUGGCGAAGGCGGCUUUCUGGUCUGUAACUGACGCUGAGGCGCGAAAGCGUGGGGAGCAAACAGGAUUAGAUACCCUGGUAGUCCACGCCGUAAACGAUGAGUGCUAGGUGUUAGGGGGUUUCCGCCCCUUAGUGCUGCAGCUAACGCAUUAAGCACUCCGCCUGGGGAGUACGGCCGCAAAGGCUG
rnacentral:rRNA from 1 species